CAGCAUCCCCCAAACGCACUCCUCCGGUGGUGGUUUCGCUCCGAAGUUCGUCCGUUCCGAAGUACACACGGCCUAGCUAACCGUCCGUAUCGUUACGCUGCGUUCAGGAACAUUUCCAUACACCCAUCCAACGAGGUUUAUUGUGUUGUCAGUGAUUUUUUUUAACGAACAUAUAACGGAUUAAUCAUUCGGCGGUGGCGGCGGCGGCUGGGGAAGGUCGCAGUAGGGAUUUUCAAAAGUUACGCGCCAGCGG